CAACCUGGCCGCGUUGUCUGGCUCCUCUGGCCGAGGAGCGUCCGGCGUAGUGCAGAAGUAGUUUCUUGCGAUUAGGGUGAAGGCACCGGUGGGACCAGCCUCCACCCAUCGGAAGACCCCUUCGUAACGGUGAUCUACCUCGGCGACAAUGUCCAGCCAGAUCAUUCCAUCCCUCCCCAAAACAUUUUCCAGUAGCCUGGACUUGUGGAGGGAAAAGAAUGACCAGCUCGUUAGACAGGCUAAGCAGCUGACUAGGGAUUCUCGUCCGUCUCUGAGGCGACAGCAAUCAGUCAGGCCUCCCUGCUGCUGUUCCUGCUCUGCCCUUGGAGCUGAC
rnacentral:lncRNA from 1 species